CAACAGUUUCUACACUGUCCCAUACGAGAAACAACAAGCGUUGAUUCUCUCCGGCUUAGAACAGCAUGAGGUGAAACGGAGACGUAAACCUGAGGAUACAAAGGAGAACAAACGACGGAAACAAACCUUCAAAUACCAUGUACAGCAAGCAGGCCAGAGAUUGAAUGUGUGCAAGGUCACUUUCAUGUCUGUGUUCCAGCUAACCAACAGCUGUCUUCAGGCAAGUGAAAAUAUGAAGAGAAGAGAAGAAUACCACAGCAUUUUCAAACAGCAGAGUCUCAAUUUCGGCCAACCAAGGAGUGACACCUGUGGCAAAUGUGACGCAUUCUUCACUAAGAUGUCAGCAGCAACAUCUGAAGAGGAGAAGAGGAAGAUUGGAGUUGAAAGUGAGUUGCACCAUCGAAAAGCCGAAAAGGCCUACACACAGCUUCAAAGUGACACUGAGUGGGCUAAAGCCAAUGCUGACUGCCAUGUCAUUUCUGUGGAUCUACAGGGGUGAUGUACACCCCUAAUCUGACCCACUCCAAUGUCUACUACCAGCGGCAGCUGUCAAAUGUUAACCUUUGCAUCCAGGAACUUGGAAAAGAAGAUCCUGCAUACAUGUGUGUUUGGCAUGAGGGGAUUGCACACCGAGGGUUCAUUGAGGUGGCAAGCUGCAUAUUGAAGUGGGAGAAGACAAAAUUCACGCCACUCACCAAACCAGAGGUGCGCAAGUUCAUAAUCUUUAGUGACAGAUGCUGUGGGCAGAAUAACAACUGGCGGAUGCUCAAUCUGAUGUCGAUGCUCGUCUCUAUGGGUUACUUUACCCAAGUUGAGCAGAAGUUCAUGGUCUGGUCAUUCUUUUCUUCCUUGAGAUCGAUCUUUUGCCACCAUCGAGAAGAGGUGCAAGGUGUCAGUCCUUCAUACACCUGAUGAUGUUUCAAAGAUGAUACUUGAAGCACAACCAGAAAAAACAUUCAAGGUGAUGAGGAUGCAAUGUGAAGACUUCAGGCACCUCCCAGAUUCUGUCCUCAAGCGACCAGCUGGACUACAGAUCACCUCAGUGAGGUGGUUAAAAGUCACAGUUGAUCCUUGGAAUCUGUACGCCAUACAGAGCCACAGUCUAUUUGAGGGAUGGAAAUCGUGGCUGAUCUCCAAACCAAAACAAGGAGCUACACCUCAACCUCCCUAUUUUGCAAGCCACUACCCUAGAGCAUAUGAGAGUCCUUUGCCCAUCAAAAAAAAACAAGUACCAAGAUCUGAUGACCAUGCUCAACUACUUGCCAGCUGCUGCACACUCUUUUUAUAAAUCACUGCAGAGUGAAUAAUUUGUUGUUAAACCAAGCUACAUAAUUAACUGU